UACAGAGGUCCCAAGCGUUGUUCGGAUUCAUUGGGCGUAAAGGGUGCGUAGGUGGCGAGGCAAGUCUGGUGUGAAAUCCCGGGGCUCAACCCCGGAACUGCACUGGAUACUGCUUUGCUAGAGUACUGGAGAGGGAACUGGAAUUUACGGUGUAGCAGUGAAAUGCGUAGAUAUCGUAAGGAAGACCAGUGGCGAAGGCGAGUUCCUGGACAGUUACUGACACUGAGCACGAAGGCCAGGGGAGCAAACGGG
rnacentral:rRNA from 1 species